rnacentral:rRNA from 1 species
UACGGAGGGGCCUAGCGUUGUUCGGAAUUACUGGGCGUAAAGCGCACGUAGGCGGAUCGUUAAGUCGGGGGUGAAAUCCUGGAGCUCAACUCCAGAACUGCCUUCGAUACUGGCGAUCUUGAGUCCGGAAGAGGUGAGUGGAACUCCUAGUGUAGAGGUGGAAUUCGUAGAUAUUAGGAAGAACACCAGUGGCGAAGGCGGCUCACUGGUCCGGUACUGACGCUGAGGUGCGAAAGCGUGGGGAGCAAACAGG